AAUUACAAGACAACAUAUCUCUAAUAAUAAUCAAGACAUAAUCUAUAAACUUAGAUUAAUUAAACAUGUCAAGAAUUAACCAUAGAGAUAAAUAAUCAAACAUAUAAAUAUAUAUUAAUCACAAAUAAGAAACCUCUUACUUGAAUGGAGUGACUUUAAUCAUAUAACUGACUAGAGAAAACCUUCCAUCAAACCAUUUUCUUUGUAAUUCCACAAGAAAUAUCACCAUCUUCGUUUCCAUCUCCAUACCAAGAUCUUCACCCUCGAACUUGUUCAAUUUCUGGAAAUUCGUCAUCAUACCCUUCACAUUUGCCAUCUUUGUAGAAAUUAUACUUUUGGAUUGUUGGGGAUUUUGUGUUUAACAAGGGUCACAAAGAAAGCAAAUGAAAUCACAAGUAUAAUUUCAACCCUAUACUACAACCCUAUACUACAACCGGAUUUUCGAGGCGUGAACGAGAUCACUUUCCCAAAAGUAUAAUUUCAACCCUAUACUACAACCGGAUUUUCGAGGCGUGAACGGGAUCACUUUCCCAAAAGUAUAAUUUCAACCCUAUACUACAACCGGGUUUCACGGAAAUUUACUUAGGAGAUACAACGAAGAACAAUUGCAAUCACAAGUAGGAUGAUUACAAUUCAAUGUAUAAAAGCUUUUGGAUUUAUGAUGAUGAUAAAAAUAUUGCAAUUGUUUUUCUCAAGAAAGAAAAGUAAAGAAAACAACUUUUCCUCUUCAAAAAGAUACUGACACAUAUGUUCCUAUGAACAUAUUUAUAUCAAAACAAAAGAAACCAAAAGCCACAAAGAAAAACUGCCAUCAACGAUUACAAAUAACCGUCAUUGAACAACCAGCCUACACAUGCGCUCGAUCGGGCUGCUGCCGCUCGAUCGGGCGGAUUGGAGUGACGGAAAUGGGUUGCUCUCGCGCCCUAUCGGGCGGUGGUGGCCCGAUCGAGCGAGAAACCCAGCAAUUUGCAUCAUUGUUCUCGCGCCCUAUCGGGCGGUGGAUGCCCGAUCGGCCCGGGCGGCUGAGAAGGUUUUCAGAUACACCCUCUUGCGCCCAGUCGGGCGGCUGACCGGGCACAUAAAGGGCUGCAAAUCAAGAUUAGCUUCUUUCGCUCUAUAAUUGUUGCCUUGUUGGGCAAUGGGGUGAAGGCGUGAAGCUUUUUUACACAAAAGGUUUUGCGAGACACAAAAGGUUUUAUUCCAUCACAUUGUAAUAAACUGCUUAAACUUCAUAUGCCCAUUAUUGGAGAGGUGAAGUAGAUCAGGUCAAAUUUGAAAAUCCGCACAGAGAACAA